AUAGAAAUUUAGAACAAAUAAGAGCAGCUGAUUUCAGACGGCCGCAAUUCUUUUAUCAAGACGAGUGUGUGAGGUGGAGGAAUGCAGGCUUUGGAGUGAGAAACCAAGAGAGAGAGAAGGGGAAAUUCAUGAAUCCAUUUAAUCCUCAGAGGGAAGCUGAAGAUACUGUUACCUAAUUGCGCUGGCUAUGUGUAAUCACUGAGGUAUUUUGCAUUUGUGCUUGAGGGGACCUAAAAAACCGAUUCAAAUAUGUCAUUCCAUGAUGGCUGGACAACGAGGUCUUUAAUCAUUAUUUGGCUGGUAUGACGCCGGCUGAAUUUGCUGAACAUCUCAAGGAUAGUUGCCCGGAAUUUGGCGAUCUAAAUGUUCAAGAGCUUCUCUUAGUGCAGGAAAGUGCCUUCCAAUUCAUUCAGAACAAAAACCAGAACAAGGACACGGCCUCCAGCUAUGGCGAAACUAGUGAUGAAAAUUUGGUUUUGGAACAUGAGAAUGAACUACCUCAUGGAGGAAGUAUCGAGCACCAAUUAGCUCUUGAUGAAGCCUUAGCAAGAGUGAUGUGUGUAUUUUGAGUUCAAUUAUCAAGUGUAUAAUCACACGAGUUCAAUUUAUUAACUCUAAUAUUACAACAACACUGCAAGAAUACAGUGUCGAUUGCAAUA